UCAACUAACCUGGACCCUGGGAAACUCCC
rnacentral:piRNA from 1 species